GAGAAAACGCAUCUCUCAGAGGGAGUCUGAUACCAGAAGCUUCACCCUGGAGCGGAAACUCACUCAUUGAAAAGAGAAGAAAUUACGGGAAAGCCUAGUGUGGCGUCUGCAUUAGAAUUUCCCCAGGUUCCCAGGGAAGCUGCAAGAACCAAAAGAGCCAACAGGUAAUGAAUCAGAGAAGACCAGAAUCACCAUAAAGAGACAGAAUGGCUCCUAACCCUACGCACUUCAGAAAAGGAUAAAAUGUGCCAUUGUAUCUAAAAAGAUAAGCAUAUCCAUCAGAAUGAGAAUGGUUAGCCACAGAGGUAUACAAAUAGAAGAGUCACAGAAAACUGCUGGCAGCCUUCAUUCAAGCCCUUAUGGAGAGAGGAUACCUUGAUUGAAGGCCUCAGUUUAUCAAUCUGAGUGUGACUUCCUUCCAAGGCAGGAACCAACAGUUGAGCAAUCCCAGUGGACGAAGUAUGCCUUUUGCCAAUACUUUCAGCUAAGAUCUCAGUGUGGACAACAGCCUAGCUUGAGACGUGAGCGCAUAGCUAGAACCAAGGAGUGGAAUCAGCCUCAACCUCACCACACUGACUGAAAGGGAAGAAUGCUUUGUUUUGCAAAAGAAAAUCAAGGCAUUGCUACCAAAAGAAGAGAGGCAUCUGGGAAGCUGCAACAAUGAGCAUUUGCUAUGGUACAUAUGGAUCUACUUAUGAUGUGAGCUAGACGUUUUUGGCAAUUGGAUUAUCGUUUGUUCAACUAUUAUUUUCAGAGAUUGGGUAUUGCUCUAUUGACCAGACUGGAGUACAGUGGUGUGACUGUAGCUCACUGCAAAUAAAUAUGGAGGAAGUGAUAGUGUGUGAUCUCUGACACUAGGUCAUACAGGGCAUUACAGCUUCCUCCUCUACUUCUCACAUCACUCACUCUG
rnacentral:lncRNA from 1 species